rnacentral:tRNA from 1 species
AAAAGGUUAGUUAAAUUAACAUUAGUAUGUCACGCUAAAAUUAAGGGUUCAAGCCCUUACCUUUUG